GACGAACGCUGGCGGCGUGCUUAACACAUGCAAGUCGAACGAUGAAGCCUAGCUUCCUAGGUGGAUUAGUGGCGAACGGGUGAGUAAUACGUGAGUAACCUACCUUUAACUCUGGGAUAAGCCUGGGAAACUGGGUCUAAUACCGGAUACGACCAAUCUCCGCAUGGGGUGUUGGUGGAAAGCGUUAUGUAGUGGUUAUAGAUGGGCUCACGGCCUAUCAGCUUGUUGGUGAGGUAACGGCUCACCAAGGCGACGACGGGUAGCCGGCCUGAGAGGGUGACCGGCCACACUGGGACUGAGACACGGCCCAGACUCCUACGGGAGGCAGCAGUGGGGAAUAUUGCACAAUGAGCGCAAGCCUGAUGCAGCGACGCCGCGUGAGGGAUGACGGCCUUCGGGUUGUAAACCUCUGUUAGCAGGGAAGAAGAGAAAUUGACGGUACCUGCAGAGAAAGCGCCGGCUAACUACGUG
rnacentral:rRNA from 1 species